rnacentral:rRNA from 1 species
AUUGAACGCUGGCGGCAUGCUUUACACAUGCAAGUCGAACGGUAACAGGCCUUCGGGUGCUGACGAGUGGCGAACGGGUGAGUAAGGCAGCGGAACGUGCCCAGAGGUGGGGGAUAACGCAGCGAAAGCUGUGCUAAUACCGCAUGUGAUCUGAGGAUGAAAGCGGGGGACCAGGCAGCAAUGUUUGGCCUCGCGCCUUUGGAGCGGCCGAUGUCAGAUUAGGUAGUUGGUGGGGUAAAGGCCUACCAAGCCGACGAUCUGUAGCUGGUCUGAAAGGACGACCCGCCACACUGGGACUGAGACACGGCACCGACUCCUACGGGAGGCAGCGGUGGGGAAUUUUGGACAAUGGGCGCAAGCCUGAUCCAGCAAUGCCGCGUGCGGCAAGAAGCCCUUCGGCUUGUAAACCGCUUUUGUACGGAACGAAAAGGCUCUGGCUAAUACCUGGGGCUGAUGACGGUACCGUAAGAAUAAGCACCGGCUAACUACGUG